rnacentral:sRNA from 1 species
GUUUGCGGUUCGGGGGCAUCCUCCUCCCAGCUCCUGAACUGCAAUCCCUCUGCGAACCUAUCGCAGAGCAACCAAAAACGCUUGCCGGAUCCUCCUCCCCCGGCAGGCGUUUUUU